ensembl:lncRNA
CCCACACUGAGCUGGCAGAAUGAAAAAGUGUGUGUCAGUGUUGGGUGGAUUUUAGCUUGGAGUCUGUUUUAUUUUCUUUGCUGCCGAGACAGUCUUCCAUGACUUCCUUGGACUAUUGGAUAAGGGUUGUAGAAAAAUUAGAAUGUCUUGAAUGGAAAGCAGCUUCUGGAGUUAAGAGGUCCCCAUUUCGUUUGCUGGAAACACAGCUAUUGCCUCCUCACAGGCCUGCCAUUUCUACUCUUACCAGCUCCAACCCAUUCUCCAAAGCGCUUGAGAAGGAAGAAAACACAAGUCAGACUGUGUCUCCUCUCUACUAAAGACCUUUCAGUGAGUCCAUCUUCUCUUGGGAUAAAAAUCAAACAUCUUACAAAGGCUUUGGAGGCCAUGCAUGGUCUGGCCUGACUCCCCUAGCCCUUUAACUCACUUCUUUCCCUGAUUUCUGAACUCCAGCCACAUUGGACCUCUCUCAGCUUCUGAGGUACAUCGGCGGAGCCUAGCCUAAAUCAGCCGCAGUCAACCUGACCUGUAAACACACGAGAGAUAAUAAACGAUUGUCAUUUUAAGAUAAUAAAUAAUGAGGGACUUCCCUGGCAGUCCAGUGGUUAAGACUUUAGUUUCCAGUGGAGAGGGUGUGGGUUGUAUCCCUGGUUGGGGAGCUAAGGUCAUGCAUGCCUCAUGGCCAAAGAAAACAUAAAACAGAAGAAAUAUUGUAAAAGAUUCAAUAAAGACUUUAAAAAUGGUCCACAUUAAAAAAAAAACUUAAAAAAAAG